UACGUAGGGUGCGAGCGUUAAUCGGAAUUACUGGGCGUAAAGCGUGCGCAGGCGGUGAUGUAAGACAGGUGUGAAAUCCCCGGGCUUAACCUGGGAACUGCAUUUGUGACUGCAUAGCUAGAGUACGGUAGAGGGGGAUGGAAUUCCGCGUGUAGCAGUGAAAUGCGUAGAUAUGCGGAGGAACACCGAUGGCGAAGGCAAUCCCCUGGACCUGUACUGACGCUCAUGCACGAAAGCGUGGGGAGCAAACAGGAUUAGA
rnacentral:rRNA from 1 species